rnacentral:rRNA from 1 species
GAGUUUGAUCAUGGCUCAGGACGAACGCUGGCGGCGCGCUUAACACAUGCAAGUCGAGCGAGAACUAGUCCUUCGGGACUAGGGACAGCGGCGAACGGGGUGAGUAACACGUGAGUAAUUCACCCUCGGUACCGGAAUAGCCCGGGGAAACUCGGAUUAAUGCCGGAUGGCCCAUUUGCUCUUCGGAGCUGAAUGGAAAAGAUAGCUUCGGCCUUCGACCGGGGACGAGCUCGCGGCGGAUUAGCUUGUUGGCGGGGUAACGGCCCACCAAGGCGACGAUCCGUAGCUGGUCUGAGAGGACGAUCAGCCACACUGGGACUGAGACACGGCCCAGACUCCUACGGGAGGCAGCAGUGGGGAAUCUUGCGCAAUGGGCGAAAGCCUGACGCAGCGACGCCGCGUGAGGGAAGAAGG